rnacentral:rRNA from 1 species
UUUUGGGAAGUAAAAAUCGUAACAAGGUCUCCGUAGGUGAACCUGCGGAGGGAUCAUUACACAAAUAUGAAGGCGGGCUGGAACCUCUCGGGGUUACAGCCUUGCUGAAUUAUUCACCCUUGUCUUUUGCGUACUUCUUGUUUCCUUGGUGGGUUCGCCCACCACUAGGACAAACAUAAACCUUUUGUAAUUGCAAUCAGCGUCAGUAACAAAUUAAUAAUUACAACUUUCAACAACGGAUCUCUUGGUUCUGGCAUCGAUGAAGAACGCAGCGAAAUGCGAUAAGUAGUGUGAAUUGCAGAAUUCAGUGAAUCAUCGAAUCUUUGAACGCACAUUGCGCCCUUUGGUAUUCCAAAGGGCAUGCCUGUUCGAGCGUCAUUUGUACCCUCAAGCUUUGCUUGGUGUUGGGCGUCUUGUCUCUAGCUUUGCUGGAGACUCGCCUUAAAGUAAUUGGCAGCCGGCCUACUGGUUUCGGAGCGCAGCACAAGUCGCACUCUCUAUCAGCAAAGGUCUAGCAUCCAUUAAGCCUUUUUUUCAACUUUGACCUCGGAUCAGUACGAUGCCAGCC